rnacentral:rRNA from 1 species
UACGUAGGUGACCAGCGUUGUCCGGAUUUACUGGGCGUAAAGCGUGCGCAGGCGGCCUCUUAAGUCAGAUGUGAAAUCCCCGGGCUUAACCUGGGAACUGCGUUUGAAACUGGGAGGCUAGAGUGUGGAAGAGGGGGGUGGAAUUCCAGGUGUAGCAGUGAAAUGCGUAGAGAUCUGGAGGAACACCGAUGGCGAAGGCAGCCCCCUGGGCCAACACUGACGCUCAUGCACGAAAGCGUGGGGAGCAAACAGG